rnacentral:rRNA from 1 species
UGGGGAAUAUUGCACAAUGGGCGGAAGCCUGAUGCAGCAACGCCGCGUGCGGGAUGACGGCCUUCGGGUUGUAAACCGCUUUCAGUAGGGACGAAGGUAACCUGACGGUACCUACAGAAGAAGGACCGGCCAACUACGUGCCAGCAGCCGCGGUGAUACGUAGGGUCCGAGCGUUGUCCGGAAUUAUUGGGCGUAAAGGGCUUGUAGGCGGUCUGUCACGUCGGAAGUGAAAACUCAGGGCUUAACCCUGAGCCUGCUUCCGAUACGGGCAGACUAGAGGGAUGCAGGGGAGAACGGAAUUCCUGGUGGAGCGGUGGAAUGCGCAGAUAUCAGGAGGAACACCGGUGGCGAAGGCGGUUCUCUGGGCAUUUCCUGAUGCUGAGAAGCGAAAGCGUGGGGAGC